rnacentral:rRNA from 1 species
CCUACGGGAGGCAGCAGUGGGGAAUAUUGCACAAUGGGGGAAACCCUGAUGCAGCGACGCCGCGUGAGUGAAGAAGUAUUUCGGUAUGUAAAGCUCUAUCAGCAGGGAAGAAAAUGACGGUACCUGACUAAGAAGCCCCGGCUAACUACGUGCCAGCAGCCGCGGUAAUACGUAGGGGGCAAGCGUUAUCCGGAUUUACUGGGUGUAAAGGGAGCGUAGACGGCCAGGCAAGUCAGAAGUGAAAGCCCAGGGCUCAAACCGGGGACUGCUUUGGAAACUGGCGGGCUGGAGUGCAGGAGAGGUGGGGAGAAUUCCAGGUGUAGCGGGGAAAUGCGUAGAGAUUAGGAGGAACACCAGUGGCGAAGGCGGCUUACUGGACUGUAACUGACGUUGAGGCGCGAAAGCGUGGGGAGCAAACAGGAUUAGAUACCCCUGUAGUC